rnacentral:rRNA from 1 species
GACGAACGCUGGCGGCGUGCCUAAUACAUGCAAGUCGAGCGCAGGAAGUCAUCCGAACCCUUCGGGGGGACGUUGACGGAAUGAGCGGCGGACGGGUGAGUAACACGUAAAGAACCUGCCCUCAGGUCUGGGAUAACCACGAGAAAUCGGGGCUAAUACCGGAUGGGUCAUCGGACCGCAUGGUCCGAGGAUGAAAGGCGCUCCGGCGUCGCCUGGGGAUGGCUUUGCGGUGCAUUAGCUAGUUGGCGGGGUAAUGGCCCACCAAGGCGACGAUGCAUAGCCGACCUGAGAGGGUGAUCGGCCACACUGGGACUGAGACACGGCCCAGACUCCUACGGGAGGCAGCAGUAGGGAAUCUUCCACAAAGGACGAAAGUCUGAUGGAGCAACGCCGCGUGAACGAUGAAGGCCCUCGGGUCGUAAAGUUCUGUUGUAAGGGAAGAACAAGUGCCGCAGGCGAUGGCGGCACCUUGACGGUACCUUGCGAGAAAGCCACGGCUAACUACGUG